rnacentral:tRNA from 1 species
GGGGAUUUAGCUCAGUGGUAGGGCACUUGCCUAGCAAGCACAAGGCCCUGGGUUCGGUCCCCAGCUCCG